GCCGUGGUGGUGUAGUGGUUGCAUACCUGGUUAAGUUUGGGCACGUGGUCGUUCGCUUGACGUGGUCCCAAUGAAUCAGGAGGUGGCAGGUUCGAAUCCUGCUCAUGGUG
rnacentral:tRNA from 1 species